GAUUAUUGAGUGUUUGUGAAAGUUCUUGAGCAUAGAUGAAAUGAUUGAUCGGUUGUCUAGUCGAUGUACAAAGGGUUAGUGUCAUGACUUAGAAUAAAAACAACGGUCCACCUACUGAGAGUAAUGCAUGGAAGCGAAGAGAGGUGACGGAGGAAGAGCAAACAGUGCUAGCAAAAUGCAAAUUUAGGUGGUAGGCAGAUGAGUGGCAAUUAAUCCAAAUAGACGAAGCCUUGGUGGUUUUAUGCUGUGAGAGC
rnacentral:lncRNA from 1 species